UCAGGGUCUCAAGAGGAUAGCAGCAUCCAGAUCAAGCAAGGACUCCGGAUGCCCACUCUGUGCCAGAUGUUGCUCUGAGCACCGGGGAGAAUGGCAGCAGCAGCGAGGCAGGAACUCGAAGGAGCACUGCUUCACAAAAGGGGCGUGAUCACCUGGGUGGUGCCGCUGGCUGGAGGGCAGACCCAUAAGGUAGAAGACAUGGGGAUCUUAAGGAAGAGCUUCAGAGGCGUGGCAGUGAUAUAGGAAGCAAAACACUAGCUGAGAGGGCCAAGGUGUCGAAGGCUCGAGAAGAUGUGAAAUAGCCAUCGCGCGGUGAGGAAGAGCAACCUGGGUAAGAAAGUCCGGUAAGAUGACUGACCAGCGUCGAAGACCCCAUGUGAAACUGCAACAAGCCGGCGUGGUCGUGGUUUCCCCCAGCCACUCUCAGCAACAAGGGCGCAUGCGUGGGGUGGAAGGGGCGUGGCCUCACCCCGGGCUUGCGGGGCGGGGCUGCUCCGCACGCACCCAAGGGAGGAGUGUGUGCAAGAGAGCGGAGAGUGUGUGCAGGAGUGGUCACGGCCACGGGGCGCACCGUAAG